UAGGAGACGAACGGAGUUCACUUCCGGCCACCCUGCCGUCGUUGCCGAUUCAGACGAACCUAAUAAACCUAAGCCAAUAAAUAUUCGAUCUUCGAGCUUCAUAGGUUCCUUCCGUUUCAUCGAAUUGCUUUCAGCAUCACAACACACUUCUUCCACCACCGGAACUACUUCCAACGAAAUCGAAACGGCGUUAAUUAAGGGCAAAAUCUGGUAAGAAGCAAUCUAUAUCUUCUGGUGGCAAAAUUGCACAUUCUGCAGGAGCUUCAAUGAGCUUGCCUUAAAUAAGGUUCAAUAUGUAUAAGUAGGGAACGAUUGUCAAACAUCAUUCGAAGAAAGGUGUAACGGAAGAGGCUCUCACUAUAGUCUGCAGGCCCAUCAUCUCUUGUAUCCCCUGCAUCAAUUAACACAAGAGACUACUAAUGAGAUAAAUACAGAGCAUCAACAAACAAACAGAGUACAACAAAACAACGAACACUCAACCAGUUUUCUACAAACGAAUUUGCAAGUUAUACUCUAAUAAUUCCAAGCCAAUGUGCAAAUUGUGGUUGGAACUGUGAAAAGCUGUAGUUAGAUUUCUUCAGUGAAUCAAGAUGUGCUCCAUUGACAUUCCACUCUAAAAUAUGGCUUCACAUUGGAUGUUAGAAAUAAAGUAAGGGCAAAAUCUGGUAAGAAGCAAUCUAUAUCUUCUGGUGGCAAAAUUGCACAUUCUGCAGGAGCUUCAAUGAGCUUGCCUUAAAUAAGACCGUCCAAGUAUGGAUGGAAACCCGUGGAUGCUGAAAUCCAGAAGAAAGAUGUAAUGGAAGAGGCUCUCACUAUAGUCUGCAGGCCCAUCAUCUCUCGUAUCCCCUGCAUCAAUUAACACAAGAGACUACUAAUGGUACUUGUUUAAUUAAAUACACUUAUGACUCUUUCAAUAUGCAUAAAUUAAAUAGGUUGUUUUGUUUUCAUUCAGACAACAAAUUUUACGUAUGGCAAAUGAGUUAUUAGGAAAAAUAUGUGAUUGAUUUA